GGAGGCGUACCCAAGUGGUUGAAGGGGUCGGUCUUGAAAACCGAUAGGGGCGAGUAACCCGCCAGAGUUCGAAUCUCUGCGCCUCCGCCA
rnacentral:tRNA from 1 species